UCGUGUCGUGAGAUGUUGGGUUAAGUCCCGCAACGAGCGCAACCCUUAUUGUUAGUUGCUACCAUUUAGUUGAGCACUCUAGCGAGACUGCCCGGGUUAACCGGGAGGAAGGUGGGGAUGACGUCAAAUCAUCAUGCCCCUUAUGUCUAGGGCUACACACGUGCUACAAUGGUCGGUACAAUGAGAUGCAACCUCGCGAGAGUGAGCAAAACUAUAAAACCGAUCUCAGUUCGGAUUGUAGGCUGAAACUCGCCUACAUGAAGCUGGAGUUGCUAGUAAUCGCGAAUCAGAAUGUCGCGGUGAAUACGUUCCCGGGCCUUGUACACACCGCCCGUCACACCAUGAGAGUUGGCAAUACCCAAAGUUCGUGAGCUAACGCGUAAGCGAGGCAGCGACCUAAGGUAGGGUCAGCGAUUGGGGUGAAGUCGUAACAAGGUAGCCGUAGGAGAACCUGCGGCUGGAUCACCUC
rnacentral:rRNA from 1 species